rnacentral:rRNA from 1 species
UUUUGUGUGAGACAUAUGUACCAGAAUUUCCACAAGUUUCACAAGGGGGAACAAUUGAAGAACAAUCUAUGGGCAAUUGCAAGAGCAACAAACAAUCCAACAUAUGUCAAAGCUAUGGAUAAGAUGCUGGCAGACAGUGUGGGUGCAUAUAAAUGGGUGGAGAAAUGGCCUCCAAGGUCAUGGAUUAAAGCCUUUUUUAAUCCUUUUCCGAAGUGUGACAUCCUGCUGAAUAACAUGUCUGAAGUAUUUAAUAGUUGGAUUUUGCCAGAAAGGGAAUUGCCAAUUUUAUCCAUGGUGGAGAACAUAAACAACAAGAUAACAGCAAGGAUAUACAACAAGCAGAAGGAAGUGGCAGUGGAUAGGAAAUGGAGUGGUAGACUGUGCCCCAAGAUUAAGAAAAAACUAGACAAAUUUACUGAUUGGGCUGCUCACUGCAUGGUAUUUGGAGCUGGUCAAAAGGUUUUCAAAGUGGUCUCAAUGAACCAUUCCUACAUAGUGGAUCUGAACAUGGAAACUUGCGACUGUGGAAGA